rnacentral:rRNA from 1 species
UGGGGAAUAUUGCACAAUGGGCGCAAGCCUGAUGCAGCCAUGCCGCGUGUGUGAAGAAGGCCUUCGGGUUGUAAAGCACUUUCAGCGGGGAGGAAGGCGAUAAGGUUAAUAACCUUGUCGAUUGACGUUACCCGCAGAAGAAGCACCGGCUAACUCCGUGCCAGCAGCCGCGGUAAUACGGAGGGUGCAAGCGUUAAUCGGAAUUACUGGGCGUAAAGCGCACGCAGGCGGUCUGUCAAGUCGGAUGUGAAAUCCCCGGGCUUAACCUGGGAACUGCAUUCGAAACUGGAAGGCUAGAGUCGUGUAGAGGGGGGUAGAAUUCCAGGUGUAGCGGUGAAAUGCGUAGAGAUCUGGAGGAAUACCGGUGGCGAAGGCGGCCCCCUGGACAAAGACUGACGCUCAGGUGCGAAAGCGUGGGGAGCAAACAGG